rnacentral:rRNA from 1 species
CGCCUCUUGCUCAAGUUAUAUAAGAGGUACUGCCUGCCCAGUGACAUCUGUUCAACGGCCGCGGUAUAAUGACCGUGCAAAGGUAGCGUAAUCACUUGUCCCUUAAAUAGUGACCAGUAUGAAUGGCAAGACGAGAGCUCAACUGUCUCCUUAGAUUAGUCAAUGAAAUUGAUCUUUCCGUGCAGAAGCGGAAAUAUAAUUAUAAGACGAGAAGACCCUGUGGAGCUUCAAACUUAAACUAAUUACAUUAAAUGAUAAAUUAGCAUAUAGCUUUAGGUUGGGGCGACCACGGGGUAUAACAAAACCCCCGAAAUGAAAUUUAAGAAAAACAUUUCAAGACAACAAUAUAAUUGACAUAAUUGACCCAACAAUUGAUCAACGAACCAAGUUACCCCAGGGAUAACAGCGCAAUCCUUUCACAGAGUCCUUAUCGACGAAUGGGUUUACGACCUCGAUGUUGGAUCAGGACCCCCUCAUGGUGUAA